GGACUACCGGGGUUUCUAAUCCUGUUUGCUCCCCACGCUUUCGCUCCUCAGCGUCAGUACCGGCCCAGAGCGCCGCCUUCGCCGCUGGUAUUCCUCCUGAUAUCUGCGCAUUUCACCGCUACACCAGGAAUUCUACGCUCCUCUACCGGACUCUAGCCACGGCAGUAUCAGGUGGCGUCUCCAGGUUGAGCCUGGAGGUUUCACACCUGACUUACCGAGCCGCCUACGAGCUCUUUACGCCCAAUAAAUCCGGACAACGCUCGCCCCCUACGUGUUACCGCGGCUGCUGGCAC
rnacentral:rRNA from 1 species